rnacentral:rRNA from 1 species
GACGAACGCUGGCGGCGUGCCUAAUACAUGCAAGUCGAACGCAGUGGGGACGGGUGAGUAACACGUGGGUAACCUCCCAUCAGAGGGGAUAACACUUGGAAACAGGUGCUAAACCGAUCCUGAUGGAUGAACCCGCGGUGCAUUAGCUAGUUGGUGGGGUAACGGCUCAACAAGGCCACGAUGUAUAGCCGACCGGAGAGGGUGAGCGGAAACAUGGGGAUGGAGACACGGCCCAUACUCCGACGGGAGGCAGCAGUAGGGAAUCUUCGGAAAUGGACGAAAGUCUGACCGAGCAAGUCCGCGUGAGGGAAGAAGGUUUUCGGAUCGUAAAACUCUGUUGUUAGAGAAGCGGUAUCUAACCAGAAAGCCACGGCUAACUACGUGCCAGCAGCCGCGGUAAUAC